UUGUUGCUUGUUGCUUGUUGCUGUGAAAACAGUAUUGGAGGGAGGGCAUCCUCGAAUUUGCCAUUUAUCUGUAAUUUUCAGUUUAUUAAUCCAUUACCACAACCAUUACUACAAAACCCUUCAUCAAACUCAUCUAAAACCCAUCCUUAAUCCGUGACAGUGGAGUUGACUGUUACAUUGAAUGUCGCGAGGCUUAAACACGUAUGCCUCUCUCUCUCUCUCUCUCUCUCUCUCUCUGAUUACAUCAGUUUUCUUCUAUAUCUCUCUCUGCCUCUUACGAUCGAUCAAUUGCUUUUGGUGUCCAAGAUUUGUUGUUCUAUCGCUCUCUCUCACAAAUCUCCUCCAAGAAACCACCGCUCCACCACCGUUGAUCGACGCCGCCAGCCCGCUCAGCCCACCAGCUCGCCUCCCUCUAAUCAUUCGAGCCCGAAUGGUUGCACCGAAGCAUCCGCAGCAGGGGAUGGAACACUGAGAAUCUGGAAUGUUUUUGUAGUCUCGAAAGUUGCUCCCAAAGCAAACCCUGAGCCUUUUGCUCAAGUGAAUUGCAUCCGAUAAUCAGUAUGAAGCUGCAGAUUUCAAAGCUUCAGUGUGAUGAGUACAACAAUUAGUUGUGUCAUAAUCACUUGGCACUCCAAGUUGUUGUACUAGGUGUUCUUGCGUUUUGGUAUUAGGAUUUAAAGGCAAGUGACAAGCCCAAUUAUUUGCCCUAUAAAGUUCACUUGAUGUGAAGAUUUUUUACAUACAAACUUGCUUAUUAAGAAUUCAUGUACAGGGAAAUCUUUAACUGAUAACAAUUUUUCACAUAAAAAGUGCUUCUUGAGAA